rnacentral:rRNA from 1 species
AAGCCGGAUUAAUACCGCAUACGCUCUACGGAGGAAAGGGGGGGAUCUUAGGACCUCCCGCUACAGGGGCGGCCGAUGGCAGAUUAGCUAGUUGGUGGGGUAAAGGCCUACCAAGGCGACGAUCUGUAGCUGGUCUGAGAGGACGACCAGCCACACUGGGACUGAGACACGGCCCAGACUCCUACGGGAGGCAGCAGUGGGGAAUUUUGGACAAUGGGCGAAAGCCUGAUCCAGCAAUGCCGCGUGUGUGAAGAAGGCCUUCGGGUUGUAAAGCACUUUUGUCCGGAAAGAAAACGCCGUGGUUAAUACCCGUGGCGGAUGACGGUACCGGAAGAAUAAGCACCGGCUAACUACGUGCCAGCAGCCGCGGUAAUACGUAGGGUGCAAGCGUUAAUCGGAAUUACUGGGCGUAAAGCGUGCGCAGGCGGUCCGCUAAGACAGAUGUGAAAUCCCCGGGCUUAACCUGGGAACUGCAUUUGUGACUGGCGGGCUAGAGUAUGGCAGAGGGGGGUAGAAUUCCACGUGUAGCAGUGAAAUGCGUAGAAAUGUGGAGGAAUACCGAUGGCGAAGGCAGCCCCC